ensembl:lncRNA
CUUACUCUGCCUGGUAAUUGAAUGAUCGUCAUGACGUUUGAACUCCUCGAAACAAAAGAAACGACAGAUGAAGAGAUUUUCCUUAGAGACGGAUCUUAAGAAAAGAUCAUUGGCAACGGUCUUGCUGAGAGGGCCACUGAACGAAAUGAGCAUUCUGGUUGCGGGCGGUUUGCACCAGACCAGCGGCUGGGGCCUUUCAGGGUGUUGCGUUGCUGUUUCUGAGGCCGGUGUCGGUCAAGUGACGGCCAACAAACAGUGGGAGGAAUUAGAUAAAUGAUGGUGGAGUGAAUUCAAUGUAAGUUGUUUGAGAUAAACCUGCUAAAUAUGAUUAACAUUUGGAUCAGGGAAUGUACAUACCCAUCGGUACUGCUGCCUUUCCAAAAGUUAAAUAUCUGUUACAUAGGAGGACAAACUUUUUAAUAUGCAUCCCCAACAUGGUGCCAUGGUGCGGGAUACUUUGACAGCCAAUCCCAGCACAUUUCAGAAAUUACGUUCCCGCUGGCUUUUAAACGAUCUACCGAAUCUGUCCACAUCCGAUCCAAACCGGUUAAAAAAGUGUCAAGUCACUUUUAUUUACUGUGCGGACUGUUUCAUGACAGGAAGAGGUGCUGCGGUAUCUAUACAGUCCACCUUAAUAAACGUUGUAUACAACAGGAGGCAUCACACUGUGUCUUUUACAUACUAUAAAUUAGCGUUCAUAAUGAAGCAUGAACACAGAACCCCCACUCACACACACACACACCCACACACACUUCUUCGAACAACAGACUAUAAUAGCCUCAAUGACAGCCUCCGGCGUGCCGAUCGCAUUUUCAACUCGAGCCCAAGUUCACUCCC